UAAAAUUAUAACCUCAAUUCAAACCCCUCAAACUCUCUCCACUUUCUUUAAGAAAUUUACAUCUUUCUCGGUCUCACUCGUCAAAAAUUUCUUCCCUAACCCCUUUCUUACAAUUAAAUAACAAUCGAUGAUUUUCUUCAAAGUGAAUUUUUAUUUUAUUGUUAUUAGGGUCUAGAUUUUAGAAUUGAAUGAUGGUGUAACAGGGGAAAUCCGAGAUAUUUGAAGUGGAUUUUGUAAAUAUAGGGAGAAGAAGCAAAACAUUGAGAGAGUUUGAUGGAGAAAGGUAUCAGAAAUUUGCAUAUCUCUAUUUAUUUACCGACAAUGGAGAUUGGAUCUUUAAUGAGAUUGUGUGAAAGGGAAUUAGAAGAUGAAUUGGAGAAUUUUGGUCACCACUACUGAAAACGUUAAUACAUCACAGUGUAUGACUGUGUGUAUUGGUGCAGUGACUUCUUAGUGCUAUUGUUUGUAAGUAAAUACAUAAGUUCGCAUAAUGUGAUCUCAAGCACUCUGUUCUUAACAUAGAUUUACAGUUAAAGGUGAGUUUCAUAGUCUAUUCAUGUUUAAAGAAAUCUGUUUUCGUAAAUGUAUGUAUGGGUAUCUUUUGUUGUUUUCUAUCAGCUAAAUUAAGAUGUAAAUGAGUUUUAAACUCAGGUGGUCAAGCCGUGUGAAUUAGUAUGCUAGGGAGGCAUUUUAGUUAAUGGAUUUUGAUAUAUUUAUGCUAGUUUUGAUUCUAAGUAGCUUCUUUAAGGUUUUGUACGGUUAGUACAUGAAACUUUCUAAGUUUUUAGAUUCUGGGUUCUCUAAAGUUUUGAUUUUUAAUCGGGUUUAUUGAAAUUAAAUUCAUAUCUAUACUUAUGCUGAGUAUUUUGUAAGAUUGAUAAAUUUGGUUGAUUCUUAGGUUCAAUUACUAUAAAUUUGGGGCUUAUUUUGUAUCUAUGGAAGCACUAUUUUCUUGAUUCACCUGUGUUUGAGAAUGGAAAACAAUUGCCAGCAGUGGAGAAGGUAAGGAUAAGGCAGUUAUUGAUUUAGUUAUUCUGCAUAACUUCAGGUAUUCUUAGGCUUGAUAUAAUUGCCAGCAAUUGAGAAGGUAAGGAUAAGGCAAAACUUGGGUUUUACUUUUGAAAUUGUUGAAUCUGACUAUCUGACUGUUAAAAGUUUCAGAUUCUGACUUGAGAGAUGUGGGUUGUGGAUUUGUAAAAGAGAAAUGUUAAUUAAGUCGAUUCAUGUUCAAUUUUUUCCCAUUUGCUUGUCCAAGCAUUUUAUCAUGUGAAUCAAAGCAUUAAUUUGAAUGAGUUUUCAUGUUCCAUCAUAUAAAUUUUGUAAGAUUGCUGCAUUAAGACUAAGAUUGCAAAUGCCUACUUCAAAAACAAACUGUCGGUUGACAAACUGCAAAGAUGAGUAACUAACUUGCUGAGGACAAAAUAAAAGCAAGUAUCCCAAAG